rnacentral:rRNA from 1 species
CAUGACCUCAGGUCAGACGGGGCGACCCGCUGAGUUUAAGCAUAUCAAUAAGCGGAGGA